UAGUUUAGUGGCGGACGGGUGAGUAACACGUGAGCAACCUGCCUUCGAGAGGGGAAUAACGGCUGGAAACGGUCGCUAAUACCGCAUAACAUACGGGAGGGACAUCCCUUUUGUAUCAAAGAUUUAUCGCUCGAAGAUGGGCUCGCGUCCGAUUAGGUAGUUGGUGAGGUAACGGCCCACCAAGCCGACGAUCGGUAGCCGGACUGAGAGGUUGAACGGCCACAUUGGGACUGAGACACGGCCCAGACUCCUACGGAAGGCAGCAG
rnacentral:rRNA from 1 species